AGCGGUUAAACAGGUCACUGAGCACCACCCUGAGGAGAAGGGAAGGACUUGCAGUGAAGAAAGGCCCUCUGCUGCAAGAGUUUGGAUUCAAGACAAAGCGGUCAACUCCUUGAUAUAACUGAAUUCUUCAAAAAGUCCCUGGGACAAAGUAAAAGGCACACUUAAUUGAUAGUCAGAAGAAUAUGUUUAAUAAAAAUAAUUAAACCUCAAUUUCCUCUAUAGAACUUCAUAGAAAGUAAUCCAAUAAAUUACAAAUGACUUUUAAGACGUGUUUUCCUGCACUACAUUAAGAAUUAUUUUGACUACACAGACCACAACUUGCAAAUAUAUCAACUGUUCAAUGAGAAAGAAAGAAAAAAAAAAAAGAAAGAAAAAGACACAAACUGACCAGGGUGACAUUUAGGAUACUAUCAAGCUUGAAAUAAAAAUACAAACCCCACGAUGGUAGUUUUGUCAUCUCAGUGAUUACAUGUAUGAAAACCUCCCUGUACAGCAGUAGUGUGUUUUGUCGUUCCUCUUGCAUAUUGGUCAUUGUUUUCUUGUGUCUGUGUUUAAUGCAGAUUCAGCACAGCCUCUUUAGCAGCAAGCAGUGCUUUCAAAGUCUGUAUACAAUAUAACCUUUACAAAAAGAAGAAAAAAAAGGAAGGAAAGCAAUGAAAGCGAGAAGUCCCAUCUUGUGUCUACAUUUAUCUCUUAACGAGGAUUAGCACAGUCA